rnacentral:lncRNA from 1 species
GCGCAAUUUUCUAUAAAUUUUCAUCGAUUUGCCAGCCAUUGGGAUAUUGGCGACAUUUGCGUUUGGCAUUUUGCUGCGUCCUUCAAAAACACACAGACCAGAAGGAGCUGCUUAUGGCCUUGCCGUCCGUCUGCCAUAACUUCAGCUGCACUUGGAAUUAUUGUUGUGGCGCCACCACCCCCCACACGAAAUUGAAAACGCAUGGGGAUGGAUUUUUGGUAUUACUUCUAUACAAGUUUCCAAUCAACAACCGAAUGAAGUUUCCAUAAUGGUAAAUAAAUUAUGUUCCUCUCACUCUCGUUUGGGUUCAGUGGAAGCGGAGUGCCCGGAAAUGGGAGCUCGCCGUAACGGAAGCAGGCUGCAGCAUCAAAUUAAUGUCUCAGCUUGCCACAAAAUGGCCGACGUGGCACAAUUUAUGAUGCCCAAAGACAACUCUAAAGUGGCCCAGCGCCGCCGCCACUCUGCGGUGUGACAAUAAAAUGGCUUCAAAUAGCCAUAAAAACGAGUGGCCCAGGAGGAUGGGAAACCACCGACAAACCCAAAUCCAAACUGGCCGCCAAGUAAAGGACCACAAAAAGCAAAUGUUUCUCUUGCUCAAUACACAUAAACUUAUAAAAGUGAAAUAAUAAAUAAG